rnacentral:lncRNA from 1 species
GAGUUUCCACUGCAGCUCUGGGGGGAAAAUUGCGGCUUCAUUUAAGGUUGUCCUGAAUUCCAUCAUGCUUAUAUUUCCACUCCACUCCAAGCUGAGCUUAUAUUUGGCACUCAUUAAAAAUUGGGAAAUCCAGAAACUUUCUUUUCUUCUGAUGUCAAAAGCUGCUGAUUCUUCCGCGUCUGCUAUUUUGCCGUGGGUAUCUUCGACAAGGGGCCUUAGGAAGCUGACCAGCAGAGCACAGACAGAGCCCCUGCUGUCUGCCAGUCUGGGCUGGAAUUAGCACACCCGUGUCUGCGAGACUUCGGCAUCCCUGCUGGCUGGUGAAGGCUGAUGUGGGUACUACGGAACUCUAGCUGCAGCUGUGUGGCCCUUGGUUACCUGCCUCCAGGAAGCUGGGAGCACCCGCCCCUAACCACAUAUUAAAGGGAUGUCAUUGACUGA